GAUGAACGCUAGCUACAGGCUUAACACAUGCAAGUCGAGGGGAAACGGCAUUAAGUGCUUGCACUUUUUGGACGUCGACCGGCGCACGGGUGAGUAACGCGUAUCCAACCUUCCCAUGACUAGGGGAUAACCUGCCGAAAGGCAGACUAAUACCUUAUGGUCUUCACUGACGGCAUCAGAUGUGAAGUAAAGAUUUAUCGGUUAUGGAUGGGGAUGCGUCUGAUUAGCUUGUUGGCGGGGUAACGGCCCACCAAGGCAACGAUCAGUAGGGGUUCUGAGAGGAAGGUCCCCCACAUUGGAACUGAGACACGGUCCAAACUCCUACGGGAGGCAGCAGUGAGGAAUAUUGGUCAAUGGGCGAGAGCCUGAACCAGCCAAGUAGCGUGCAGGAUGACGGCCCUAUGGGUUGUAAACUGCUUUUGUAUGGGGAUAAAGUCAAUCACGUGUGAUUGUUUGCAGGUACCAUACGAAUAAGGACCGGCUAAUUCCGUG
rnacentral:rRNA from 1 species